rnacentral:tRNA from 2 species
GGAUAAGUGGCGGAAUCGGUAGACGCUGAAUGCUCUGUUUAUAGUAGGUUUCUCCAUGCAAAGGGGGAGAAUAAAACUAAUCCAUCCCUUGAUUGCCAAAUGAGCAAUAAGACAUCCUACAUUUCUCGGUUCGAGUCCGGGCUUAUCCA